GUGGGGAAUCUUGCGCAAUGGGCGAAAGCCUGACGCAGCCAUGCCGCGUGAAUGAUGAAGGUCUUAGGAUUGUAAAAUUCUUUCACCGGGGACGAUAAUGACGGUACCCGGAGAAGAAGCCCCGGCUAACUUCGUGCCAGCAGCCGCGGUAAUACGAAGGGGGCUAGCGUUGCUCGGAAUUACUGGGCGUAAAGGGAGCGUAGGCGGCCAGUUUAGUCAGAGGUGAAAGCCCAGGGCUCAACCUUGGAAUUGCCUUUGAUACUGGCUGUCUUGAGUUUGGGAGAGGUGUGUGGAACGCCGGGUGUAGAGGUGAAAUACGUAGAUAUUCGGAAGAACACCAGGGGCGAGGGCGACACACUGGCCCAAUACUGACGCUGAGGCUCGAAAGCGUGGGGAGCAAACAGGAUUAGAAACCCCGGUAGUCC
rnacentral:rRNA from 1 species